AAAGGAACUAAAGUGAUGGUCUUUGAGAAGAAUGUCACUGAACCAACUCUGGAAAUCCUCAGUCCAUCACAAGAUGAACUUUGCAAAAGGAAUCGGGUGACACUGAUUUGUCUAACGACUGAUUUUUAUCCUGACCACAUAACUAUUACCUGGGAUUUGCCACAACUGAACGAGCCAACAAGAAUUAAAACUGACACCCCAGUGCUGAAUGGCCACACAAAGUUGUAUGGUGUCAGCAGCCGGUUAAGAGUGCCAAAAAGUGUCUGGUGCAACCCUGAUAACAAGUUUACCUGCAUUGUGACAUUUGGCAUGGAAAAUGGAACUGAGACUUACAGGAGAUCUAUACACGGAUCACAAGAUUGUGUGAAGAGGACAGAAUCAGUUAAGAAAAACAGCAAAACUGUGACAUUUGCAUAUCUAAUAUUUAUUGGAAAAAGUGUGCUGUAUGGAUUCCUACUUACAAUUGUUUUGUGGAAAACAAAGCUGCACUCAAAAGAUUUCCAAUGAUGAAUGAACCUGAAAUCAUUGUUUUCUUAAUCUCAAUAUAAAAUUUAUGUUUGCAUUUAUCAAAAGUAUUAUUUUCAUUUUCUGCACUGAUUAAUACAAAUGGCAUUUGUUGAUUUUUUAUAUCAUUUUACAUUAAUUUUAUUUCUCUUCUUUAUGCUUUACUUCACAUAAGCCUUGUUUCAUAACAAAACUGAAAGUUGCUUGUAUUUUUAGUAUAGUAUGCAAUUUUAUUAACUAUUGUGUUUUAACUGUCUCGAAUUGUCACGUCCAGUGUAUUAAAAAUGGCUUAUGAAUUUUA